GUUAGAUGCAGUGGCGCACGCCUGUAAUCCCAACAGCUUGGGAGGCUGAGGCAGGAGGAUCGUGAGUUCAAAACCAGCCUCAGCAAUGGUGAGGCUCUAAGCAACUCAGUGAGACCCUGUCUCUA
rnacentral:sRNA from 1 species